rnacentral:RNase_P_RNA from 1 species
CGAUGGCAGAUGAUCGCCGGUGAGCUGCUUGCGGCUUGCUGGAGGAAAGUCCGAACACCAUACGGCAGCAUGCCGCGUAAAACGCGCGGGCAACGUUCGCCAAAGCGAACGUUGACGGAGAGUGUCACAGAAAAGAUACCGCCGGUUCUUUGAGAAAAGCACAGGCAAGGGUGAAAAGGCGAGGUAAGAGCUCACCGCUCGUGGAGUAAUUCGCGAGGCAGGAAAAACCCCAUGCGGUGCAAGACAAAACAGAGGAAGGGCAGCCGGCCCGAUUUAAUCCUCGGGUAUCGUCGCACGCGGCUGAGAUGCAAAUCGAGGCCCGUCCAGCCUCAGUUUUUCUGAAAACCAGGCGAGCGUGAUUCAAGCUCGCCAGAAAAACUGGGGCUGGGAGAUAAAUGAUCAUCCCCAGCUCCAGUUUUGUUGCGGAGGUGAACCAGUUACUUAACUCACCAACAAAACUGGGGCUGGGACAGAAUUCGGCUUAUCGCCAUCGAAAC